GACGAACGCUGGCGGCGUGCUUAACACAUGCAAGUCGAACGGAAAGGCCCUGCUUUUGUGGGGUGCUCGAGUGGCGAACGGGUGAGUAACACGUGAGUAACCUGCCCUUGACUUUGGGAUAACUUCAGGAAACUGGGGCUAAUACCGGAUAGGAGCUCCUGCUGCAUGGUGGGGGUUGGAAAGUUUCGGCGGUUGGGGAUGGACUCGCGGCUUAUCAGCUUGUUGGUGGGGUAGUGGCUUACCAAGGCUUUGACGGGUAGCCGGCCUGAGCGGGUGACCGGCCACAUUGGGACUGAGAUACGGCACAGACUCCUACGGGAGGCAGGAGUGGGGAAUAUUGCACAAUGGGCGGAAGCCUGAUGCAGCAACGCCGCGUGCGGGAUGACGGCCUUCGGGUUGUAAACCGCUUUCGCCUGUGACGAAGCGUGAGUGACGGUAAUGGGUAAAGAAGCACCGGCUAACUACGUG
rnacentral:rRNA from 1 species